rnacentral:ncRNA from 1 species
AACGGGAAUGAAAUACUUAGGUUAUCUUGUUACUUUCAAACAUAAUAAAAAAAGUUUGAAAGUAAAAGAUUAUUUUUAUAGUUCUAUAAAUUUUAUUUGUAAAAUUCUUUAUGUUAAUUAAUUGAUAUUAACUAUAUAGAAGAUAUAAUUACUUUUUUUAGUUCUAAAAGUAGAUUUUACAAAAUUUCUGGCGAAGCCUGUGCCAGCCGCCGCGGUUAUACAGGCAGAAUAAUGAAUUUUGUAUUAAAGAAAUAUUUAUUUUUAUUUAUUUUUAUUUAUUAAUUAGGUGAAAUUUUUAAUUUUUUAAAAUGAAUAGUUUUUUAAAAAUUUAUUUAAAAAAAUAGGAUUAGAUACCCUAUUAUUAUAAAAUGAUAAAUUGGGAGUACUUUAAGGUUCGGAAAAACUAAGUAAGAUGGCGGUAUUUUAAUCUUUUUAGAGGAAUUUAUUCUAUAAUUGAUAUAACUCAGGUAUCUUACUUAAUUUGGUAAGGCAGUUUGUAUAUCGCUAUCAUAUUAUAAUGUUAAUAGACUUUAUUGUAAAUGUUGAUUUUUUUUAAAAAUGUUAGGUCAAAAUGCAGCAUAAAAUUAAGGUUGAAAUAAAUUACAGGAAUUAAUAUUGAUUUUAUUGAAAGUUGAUUAUGGAUUUAAGAGUAAACUUAAAUUAUAAUGUUAAGUUGAAUUAAGUUCUAAAAUAUGCACAUAUCGCCCGUCACUCUCGAUUGUGAGAUAAGUCGUAACAAAGUAAAAGUACCGGAAGGUGUUUUU